rnacentral:ncRNA from 2 species
AUCGUGACACCUCUCCGAGCUCUGUCAUCUGCCGCACCGCCAACGAUGACAGGGCCGAUAGGGUGGGGAUCGAAAAGCCCCCGCCUCCCGAUGCCCGAGAAACUCUCGCGGCUGAAUUGGAAAGGAGAAGAGAGAUGGGAAUU